AGAGUUUGAUCAUGGCUCAGGACGAACGCUGGCGGCAUGCCUAAUACAUGCAAGUCGAGCGGACUUGAUGAGAAGCUUGCUUCUCUGAUGGUUAGCGGCGGACGGGUGAGUAACACGUAGGCAACCUGCCCUCAAGCUUGGGACAACUACCGGAAACGGUAGCUAAUACCGAAUACUUGCUUUCUUCGCCUGAAGGAAGCUGGAAAGACGGAGCAAUCUGUCACUUGAGGAUGGGCCUGCGGCGCAUUAGCUAGUUGGUGAGGUAACGGCUCACCAAGGCGACGAUGCGUAGCCGACCUGAGAGGGUGAUCGGCCACACUGGGACUGAGACACGGCCCAGACUCCUACGGGAGGCAGCAGUAGGGAAUCUUCCGCAAUGGGCGAAAGCCUGACGGAGCAAUGCCGCGUGAGUGAUGAAGGUUUUCGGAUCGUAAAGCUCUGUUGCCAGGGAAGAACGUCCUUGAGAGUAACUGCUCAAGGAGUGACGGUACCUGAGAAGAAAGCCCCG
rnacentral:rRNA from 1 species